CCUGGCUCAGAUUGAACGCUGGCGGCAGGCCUAACACAUGCAAGUCGAGCGGUAGAGAGAAGCUUGCUUCUCUUGAGAGCGGCGGACGGGUGAGUAAUACCUAGGAAUCUGCCUGAUAGUGGGGGAUAACGUUCGGAAACGGACGCUAAUACCGCAUACGUCCUACGGGAGAAAGCAGGGGACCUUCGGGCCUUGCGCUAUCAGAUGAGCCUAGGUCGGAUUAGCUAGUUGGUGAGGUAAUGGCUCACCAAGGCUACGAUCCGUAACUGGUCUGAGAGGAUGAUCAGUCACACUGGAACUGAGACACGGUCCAGACUCCUACGGGAGGCAGCAGUGGGGAAUAUUGGACAAUGGGCGAAAGCCUGAUCCAGCCAUGCCGCGUGUGUGAAGAAGGUCUUCGGAUUGUAAAGCACUUUAAGUUGGGAGGAAGGGCAUUUACCUAAUACGUGACUGUUUUGACGUUACCGACAGAAUAAGCACCGGCUAACUCUGUGCCAGCAGCCGCGGUAAUACAGAGGGUGCAAGCGUUAAUCGGAAUUACUGGGCGUAAAGCGCGCGUAGGUGGUUUGUUAAGUUGAAUGUGAAAUCCCCGGGCUCAACCUGGGAACUGCAUCCAAAACUGGCAAGCUAGAGUACGGUAGAGGGUAGUGGAAUUUCCUGUGUAGCGGUGAAAUGCGUAGAUAAUCAAUCGAGGUGUGCUCGCUCUCCGACUCGGGUUCC
rnacentral:rRNA from 2 species